UUCGUUGUUCUGUCGUCUUUAUAAAGCCAAGCGCUGCAUUUGAUUGUUGUUAUCUUCAACGAAUCGCAUUAGCAGCAACAGAACAAGACAGUCAAACGUGGAUAUGAAGACCUAUUUCCUUAUUGCUUUAUUCGCCGCGUGUGUAUUGGCCAGUAUUGCCCAAGAUAUCACACCUGGACCAGCUCAAUCUUAUAGUGACGAGGAUGGGUAUGGUGAAGCAAGUUUUUCUGACGAAGCCUUUCCUCAUGAAUUGUUUAAAGAUGAUGGGAAGUUCGGCACAUUCAACGAAGACGAUACAGAGGGAAAUUUGGAAGAUUUUGCCGAUGGAGAUCCAACGAAAGCCCCAUAAAAAGACUCAUUUUCAGGCGAGGAAUUGCACUUAUUGGCAAACAAGCAGUAAGGAAAAUCUUCUCCAAAACACAGCAACCCUGGCAGGGCUAUAUCGGACACUAAACUGAAAAUUACCGUUUUACAUGUUCCAGAACAAAUAUGCAAUAAACGGGAAAUAAGCGUC